GUUUGGGUUAGUUUGCAGUCAGAGGGUUUUAAUUUACUUGUGAAGUUCACACUGCUGAAAGUAACUACAUUACUGAAAGUAUUUGCAAUGUUUGACUCCUUUUUUUUCAGAGUCCAAGAAAAAGAAAAACACGGCAUAGUACAAAUCCCCCACUAGAGUGUCAUGUUGGUUGGGUAAUGGAUUCCAGAGAUCACGGGCCCAGAACCUCCUCUGUCAGCAGUUCAAAUACUUCACCUUCAGAAGGUACACCACUAAUAGGAAGUUAUGGAUGUACUCCCCAAUCAUUCCCAAAAUUCCAGCAUCCAUCUCAUGAACUUUUGAAGGAAAAUGGCUUUACUCAACAAGUUUACCACAAGUAUCGUCGAAGAUGCCUAAGUGAGAGAAAACGCUUGGGAAUUGGCCAGUCUCAAGAAAUGAAUACCCUCUUUCGUUUCUGGUCCUUUUUCCUCAGAGAUCACUUCAACAAAAAAAUGUAUGAGGAAUUCAGACAACUUGCUUGGGAAGAUGCAAAAGAAAAUUACAGGUAUGGAUUAGAAUGUUUAUUCAGGUUUUAUAGUUAUGGACUGGAAAAAAAAUUCAGACAAGAAAUAUAUAAGGAUUUCCAAGAAGAAACGAAAAAAGACUACGAAUCUGGUCAGCUGUAUGGAUUAGAAAAGUUCUGGGCUUAUCUAAAAUACUCACAGUCAAAUACACAGUCUAUUGACCCAAAACUUCAGGAAUACCUCUGUAGUUUCAAGCGGUUAGAAGAUUUCCGUGUUGAUCCUCCUAUUAGUGAAGAAUUUGGAAGAAAAAGAUAUUCAUCUUCUACUGUUGAGGAAAGUAAUCGUCAUAGACUUCCAUCUAAUUCCUCUACAAAGCCACCAAAUGCUGCUAGUAAGCCUUCAUCUGCAGUUCAGCUUCAGGCCACAGUUAACUUUUCCAGAAGGAAUACUUGACAGAAAUCCAGUGACAGUUUGCACCAGAACAGUCCUGCCUCAGUUUCAACAAAUGGUGAAAUGCCUGAGAAAUAG